rnacentral:rRNA from 1 species
UACGGAGGGGGCUAGCGUUGUUCGGAAUUACUAGGCGUAAAGCGUGCGUAGUCGGUUAUUUAAGUCGGGCGUGAAAGCCCCGGGCUCAACCUGGGAAUUGCGUUCGAUACUGGAUAGCUAGAGUUCGGCAGAGGGAAGCGGAAUUUCGGGGUGUAGCGGUUGAAAUGCGUAGAUAUCUGGAGGAAUACCGGUGGCGAAGGCGGCAUCCUGGGACCGAGAUUACACUGAUGAGCGAAAGCUAGGGGAGCAAACGGG